ACUGGAUGAGAGUUUAGUGAGUCACAGCUCUAUCACCAUAUGUCCUUAUCUCUUCAGAUCUCAAUGAGUGCCAGAAGACACCACAGGUUUGUGGCAGCAACGCCACUUGCCUCAACACCAUCGGGAGCUACCUCUGCCAGUGUCAACCUGGGUUCAGAUCCACAACGCCUGUCAACUAUACUGCUCUCACUGGGGAGUGUAAGGACGUGAAUGAGUGUAAGGAGCAGACUGCUGAUUGCCCCAACAACUCAUCCUGUGUGAACACCCCAGGGUCCUACGUCUGCAACUGCCAGUCUGGGUACACACUAACAGAGAGCAAGUGUGAAGACCUCGAUGAGUGCCAAGAUUCACCUCAGGUUUGUGGCAGCAACGCCAGUUGCCUCAACACCAUUGGGAGCUACCACUGCCAGUGUCAACCUGGGUUCAGAUUCUCUCAUCACACUGUGAAGGACUGAUGGAAAGUCCAAUAUCAUGUUUUCUGAUGAGUUUACCAAUGAUUGUGUCACGUCUGCUCCUGCUCCCCCUCUCUGACGCUCGAGGAUGCCAGGCGGCUCAUCAUUACUCACACCUCUCCCCAUCGUUACGUGCCCCAGCGCUUCAUCGGACUCACCUGGACGCCAUCACGGCAUUGAUUAUCUACCCUAUAUCUGUCACCCCCUCCAGUUAAUUUUCCGCGUCUGCAUUGAUGCUGUUUUGUUUCUCCUGUCCAGACGCUGUUCCUGUUUUUCAUGUCUGUUAACCCAUUAAAUAUUCAUUCCCUGUACUUACUACAUUUCCUUUUCAAAGACUUGCUGAGGCAUUUAUCAGUUAGUGACACUGUAGUAAUAUACAGUAUAAAGAUACCUGGAUCAGGCUGUUUUUUAAUUGAUUUUUAUUGAACCUUUAUUUAACUGGACAAGUCAGUUAAUUAAAAACAACAUUUUAUUUACCAUGAUGCCCUAGGAACAGUGGGUUAACUGCCUUGUUCAGAGGCAGAACAACAUAUAUAUUUUUCUUCCAGUUCCGGAGAUUCAAUCUAGGAACCAUUCGGUUAUUGGCCCAAUGCUCUAACCACUAGGCUACUGCCGCCCCUUAGGAUACCUAUCUCCCUGCUGUUAACCUCUCUUGGGUAGGGGGCAGUAUUUUCACCUCCGGAUGAAAAGCGUGCCCAAAGUAAAUUGCCUGUUACUCAGGCCCAGAAUUUAGGAUAUGCA